rnacentral:rRNA from 1 species
GUCUAUAGCCAUGCCAUUCUGAACAAGCCAGAUCCCGUCUGAUUUCAGAAGCUAAGCAGGAUAGGCCUGCUUAGUACUUGGAUGGGAGACCACCUAGGAAGACCAGGUGUUGUAGGUG